rnacentral:lncRNA from 1 species
CACGCGCGUGGGUAUUUGGAAAUGGAAUUCUCCACUGUGGAUGGACCCAGAUGUGGAAUGAAUCCAUUCUCAGCGUGCAUGGAGGGCCCUGGGGCACGGGGAUGAGCAGCCAGGCUCAGUCCCGGGAGCACCCAGUCUAGAUGGGAAAGACCAGGAGAUCCCCGCAUCUGAGUGGGUGAGGCCCAGGCUAACCAGCCCGUCAUCUCAUCUGAGCCAGGAGCCGCCCGAGAUCCUACCCUCCUCACCCUGGGCUGCCCCGCUGAGGGACCACAGGUUUGCCACAGACAGCCCUGAACGUCACUUCAUACAAGC